GACGAACGCUGGCGGCGUGCUUAACACAUGCAAGUCGAACGGAAAGGCCCUGCUUUUGUGGGGUGCUCGAGUGGCGAACGGGUGAGUAACACGUGAGUAACCUGCCCUUGACUUUGGGAUAACUUCAGGAAACUGGGGCUAAUACCGGAUAGGAGCUCCUGCUGCAUGGUGGGGGUUGGAAAGUUUCGGCGGUUGGGGAUGGACUCGCGGCUUAUCAGCGUGUUGGUGGGGUAGUGGCCUACCAAGGCUUUGACGGGUAGCCGGCCUGAGAGGGUGACCGGCCACAUUGGGACUGAGAUACGGCCCAGACUCCUACGGGAGGCAGCAGUGGGGAAUAUUGCACAAUGGGCGGAAGCCUGAUGCAGCAACGCCGCGUGCGGGAUGACGGCCUUCGGGUUGUAAACCGCUUUCGCCUGUGACGAAGCGUGAGUGACGGUAAUGGGUAAAGAAGCACCGGCUAACUACGUG
rnacentral:rRNA from 1 species